GGCCUUGCUCUUAUGUCAUCUGACUAAAAGUUUCAUAGACCAAAGAUAACCAUCCAACCUGUUGGAAUACUGAAACAAUUGCUGCCUGCUUUCCACACACUACAUAAAAUAUGUGGAUAUCCUAAAUUCAAAAAAAAAAGAUUUGUAAGCAGAUCAAGCAAUACUGGGACUCCCUCUUCUCCAGAAGAGACAUCCUGGCCUCCAUGCAGAGGAAUGUGUGGAUGGACAUAUAUUUAAGGAAGACACUAAACCAGAAAAUACUACAUUACACCCUCUUAAAAGACUUCUAAGAUUGUUGUCAUGCCUACCACUGACAUUCAGAUGAUGUGUAUUCUUGAUUGUGAUUUCAUGUUUGGAGCUGAUGAAGGAGUUUGAAGUCUCCAGAGCAGCAAGGAGAGUGGGGAGUAGAACUCAUCAUCUUUAGGUCACUCAUCCCCG
rnacentral:lncRNA from 1 species